GCAGGGGAGGCAGAGCUCAGCCAGUCCUCCCACCCUCCUCAUCACCUCCAGCAUGAGGCAGCCCCCAGCUGCGGCUCCCUUGCCUUACCCUGAGGCGGGCAGUGGGGCUGGGUGAUCUGUUGGGUGGAGACCUGAUGAGCCCCAUUUUGGGGGGCACAGGUGGAGGCACUGAGGGAUAACAAAGGAAGGGAAGAAAGAGGUAUGCUCAGAGUGCUGCUGCAAGAAGCUGGGACCUGUGGUGUUGGGGGGAAUCUUCUUGUUCCUGCUUUGAGUUUGUGACCUCCACCAUGAGGCCUACUUUUAACAACCAAGCUCUGUUUGAAGAUGGACUCCUUCUCUCCUGGGCUUGCCUUCCUCGGCAGCAGACACGGAGAGGGAAACUGCUCUGCAGGGCUUUCCUGCCCGGUGAGGAAGGUCUGUGAGGAAGGUCUUGUGAGGAUAAAAAUCCUCACAAGAGCCCAUGGAGGAAACAGUGCGGCUGCUGGGUGCGUGGCAACGUGCCGUCAGAUGUCGGGACCUGGCUUGAAGGACGGAGCCCCAGCGCUGGAAUGAGGCGGUCAGUUUUCAACCUGCUAAAACACAGAGGGGAUCCCCGAGCACCUCUGCAGGACCACAGGUUUUGGACUUGCCCCAUGAGGGCUGAGCCAUGAGGAUAGUGCCUGCAGGCUGGUGGGUCCUGGCCUGUGGUGGAAGGAGCCUAGCCAACAUCAUCCCCUCAGGCUGUGGGGUGGCUGAGAGAGCACCCUGGGACUGUCAGGGUGGCAGAUAGAUUAUCAAUGUGGAAAAGAUUGAUAAGAUUGAUAUCAGGCCUGAUAAGAAAGGGACUGCGCUGAAGGGAGCACCAAGGGAAAAUGGCUCCUGGCCUCAACAGGCAGUGGUGGGGACCUCAGCCUUCGGUGCAUGUAUUUGAGGUGCUCGUGGCUUAUACCCCCUCCUCCUGGGGGUGAUUCAGACUGCUCGCACACAUUGCUGGGUUCUUGAUGAACUGUAAUCAGUAACAGGGGAAGAGACUUGAGGUCUUUGCACCGAAGCCCUCUGCUCAAUAGCUAGCAGUGAUUUUGCUUUAUUCCAUUCUUCCCCUUCAAAAAGAAAAAAUUAAAAAGGGUGAGGAUGCAUGAAGAUUGGAAUAGAAAACAUUGACAAUCUUAUCAUACUACUGUACAAAUCAAUAGCACGCACUUGACUGGAAUAAUACUGAUUGCUGUAUCCUGUGAAAGUUAUAGAGGAUUGAGAUGGGUUUUGAAACUCUGAGACUGGCCUCUUUCAAGAGGUGCCCAAACACAUUAUGGACUGCUUGGGGAAGGGCUAAGUGAAAUCCCCUAGCCUGUGUUAUGCAAAGGGUUAAGCAAGACUAUCAAAAUGGUCUGAAAAUGUAAGUCCUUGGGUAAAGCAACAAGCUCAACUACAGCCCCGGCACUGGAUGGGAGAACUUAACAGGAUGUUUCCAGCCCGAUACCGCUGUAUGUGGAAGGCCGUACCAAAGGGAAAGGAGUGAAGGGCUUCCAAAAAGACGUCCCGAGCUUGAUGCAACACCAUUUUGGUGAGACACUGGGCAGCUACGAUGUAUCCGAACAAAUCUUCACCUCAAACAACCUUGCGCAUUGAGUUUAUACAGGAGAACACGGCUAUAAAACUUGCAACUCCGCUGCUUCAACAGUGCUAAAGUGGCCAGAUGGAUUCCAACCUAGCAGUAUAAGGGCUCCCAAAUCUGCACGGUGACAUCUGAUGGCAUAUUUAGUGUUGGUGCUCAGAUGGACUUUGCUGCAGUGUUUCUUGAACACAGCUGCUAGCCUGAGCGUUCCUUAUUAAUGAAUCACAAAGAGGCACUGGGAGCGGAUGUAUAGUUGUAAGUGAUGGCUCUGCAAAUAUUUUUUUUUCCUUUGGCUUUUAAAUUACCUCCUUAGUAUUUUAGGGGUUGCAAGCUGGUGAGAGUGGUGUACUUAGGGGCCAUUUGUGUGUCUGGAAAUCGCCCUCAUAAAGCACUUCUCAGGUCAAGCUUUCAGGUGUGUUUUAUUUGGGGUGCUUCUGUAGAUGCCAGUCCAGAGCUUGUCAGGCACUUUAUGACCAUAUAUUGGGAUCUGAUACAGAGAUGGAUUCCAAGCGAGUGUAAAGCAUGCCGCCUUGCUAUGCCUUUAAAGAGCUCAUCAAUCUUCAGCAUUGGUGUUCUGGCCUGUCUUGGACCUUUGGAAUAAAGUUUCCUAAGCAGGUCUUUAUGCAAGGCCUGAGUUAGGAGCUUGAGGUUUUACUGAAUUGCCGUGUCGUAGGCGUUGUUGCACUCCUGUACUUGUGAAAAUAUCAUCGAGUUCUGCAUAGCUGGUUAUAUUCCCGAGGCUCGAGGAAACUAUUUCCCGACUGUCAGGAUCAACAAAUGGCUCCUGUAAUGCCUUUGAUCAUUUUCUUAUUUACUGACAAUUUUAUUUGUUUUACACUGCCUGAAUUUCCUUCAUAGGUCUUCCAGACGACACCAGCAUUUAAACAUAGCACUGCUGUCCUUCCAUUCUAUUCAGGUCCCCGCCACUUGCUUUUUACUUUCUCUUCUAUGGAAUUUGUGUGACCCUAGACCAGGAUGACUUCACAAGCAGAAAAUUAGCUUUCAUAAAGAACUGACUUUUUGGGAGGAGCCCCUGUGCCCAACCACAAAGUGAUAAAUCUGAGCAUGUUUUAACAGUAAGCAAAACGAUGCUUUGCUGAAUAAAUUACCCCUCCACGUUGCCCUUCUGGGAGGCACAGGAUGGUUACUUUAAUUAAGGGUGGAGGUAAGCAUGUGGUGGAUGCUAUUCACAUGGAGCCUUUCUAAGAAGAGUUGCUGGAUAUCCCUAGCCCUUCGCUACUGGUCCACCCGUGCUGUUGGUAAAUGCAGAUGAGGCAGUUGGUGCUCAGCGUAUCGUAUAAAUUUACCGUGAUUAAUCUUACCGAGCCUUUUGCCAAACAUCCCCUAGUGUCUGCUAAGCUGUUUUCUCGCAGAAGCCAGGUGGGCAGUUGGCAAGAAGUGCUCAUUAGCAGCAGGAAACGCCAGCUCUUCCUGCGCUGCACGCACCCCACCGACCAUCCUAGCAACAAAAGAGCUUGCGUAGGGGUCCACAGCUGCAUAGCCGAAGGUCUCCAAGCCAUUUCGUUGCCCCUCUGAUGCCAUAGGCAUUUUUGGCAACUCCACACACUGACCUUACUUGCUAAGAAAAAAGAAUGGCUGAAGAUGGAGCCUGGUGCUGAUGCUGUGGCUGAAGAAUGUAGAAUGAGUAGGAUUUGGCUGCCAAAUUCCUACAGCUUCCACUUGGCUAAGGUACCCUAAGGUAAAUUCGCAUCUAUUUGGGAUGAUGCCAGCACGUGCAUGGAAAUUAGGAUCCAUUUUCUCAGUUAUCUCCUACUUGUGCUCUGCAGUCCAGGUUACGUAGUGAUUCCCAGCUUCAUACCUCUGAACUCUCACCUGCUCUUGCUUUGGAGGCGCUGAACUGAUGCACAGCCAUGGGCAGCUGCAGAAUCACAGGUGACUUGGUCCACAGCUGCUAGCAUGCCUCUGGCUGCACAAAAGAGCUGUCUCAAGAAGCUCCUCUGAGCCUCUCUUCCUGGAGGGUGACCAUGGGAAGAGGAGAACCUUGUUAUUUAUUUUUUUUUUUUCCUGAAGUGUGCAGUGGCUGCUGUUCCCUUGUACCUGGCAACAGCAGAGUGGUUUUGUAGCGAUAGCUCUGGGUUGGAGGGCUCCUGAACAAGUCACGUACCAGAGGAAAAGGGGAGAUGAACAUCUAGCUUUUAGGAUCUGCUUUGUUCUCAUCUCCUGCAACUUUUCUCCUCUUGCCUGUUUUUCCUUUCUCUCAUAGCUCUGUCUGCUAAAAUAAUCGGUUUUUCUCUGCAUGAGCUUCUGUCAUUAGAUGAAAGGUCAUGGAUAUAAUAUGAAUCUGGAACGAUAAAUACAGUGCAAAAUGGAUUGAAAUGCACAUGGCAAAGAGGGUUUCCAAUUAAAAAACACUUUGCCGAGCUUGCACCAAACAAACAGUCACACAGCCUCUGAUUUCUUUGCUUAUAAUUAGCUGCCAUUGAAAGUUAAUUACUUUCAGGACUGAAGGAAAUGAAAGUUAAAGGGGAAAAAAAGGAAAAAAAAAUCUUUAAGAGGGUUGCAGUGGAAAAUAAAUCUUAAGUUUUUGCAUAGCACCUGUUCUGUGGAGAUGGGGAAAAACAGUUCAGGUUUUUUGCAUCCUAGAAACUAGAGCUGGAAAAAGAGACAUGAGUACAUGUGGCACUUGGGAUGCAUUCCUGGGUUCCUUUGGAGGCUCUGCAUCCGCAGCCUAUCCCAGAAGGUGUAUGCGAGUUUCAGAUGAGAUCCCUGAUGUGAUGGUACUGUGUGAAGGACAGCUACCACAGAAGGCCAGAAGCUCUGCUCCCCAUUUCAUAGCCUGUCCUCAGAACCCACCCAACCCAGGGACCAUUCCUGAAUUCUCUCAUCUGUCCUGAGUGCCCCAAGUACUGGACUUCUUACCUCUUUUUCCCAGCCACGCUGGAGGUACCUACUGUAGUUAGAGCACAUGUUAAUUCAAAACAAGACAUCUGAGACUAAGUGUUUAUAUGCACAGGUGAGAGUACAGUUGCUUAUUUAAAAGAUAAUCAUGCUAUUUUAGACUACACAGCGAUAUUUCCUCCAGUUAAAAAAAAAAUAAAAAAAAAGCAAAAGGCUGAAGAGCCCAGGAUUUGCAGUGCUGGUUAUUCUUGAUGCCUCCAUUUUUAGAGCACUGUGAUUGAGAGCUAAGAAAGCUGUGUUUGUUUGCAGCAGUUCUUGCUGUACUUUCCACUGAUCAGGCUGCUUCAGUGUUUUCAAGUUGGGCACCUGUAGGACCAACUGUGCAGUCAAGUCACCCUCGAAUCAGUCUCUGUAAGUGAUGGUGUCUAUCUCCUUUGUAGCAAGCUGCAAAAAGCUUGGUAAGGGACAGAGAAAUGUAUGUUCCUUCUCCAUAAAGGCAGUAAACUUCAAAUUCAGAGAAGGCAGGUGCAAGUUUGUUCUUUAUUCACUCAAGUUUCAUGAAUCAAACAGAUACUUUGGUUUAUCUCAUUAUUAUUAAUUACAUCAGCAUACUACCCUUUGCUGUAGGUGAAGCUUUGGCAUACUUAAGGAACAUGACAGGCUGUGGUGAUUCCAGAAGAGGGGACCAUGUUUACUCUCCUUAAAGCAUCAGGGUAUAAGAUUCAAAAUGUCAAGAAUGAGUGAGAUCCUUUACCAACACUAGAUCUUACGCUCAAAUUUUGAGGUAAAAGCAAGCCAUUCUGAAUCUAAGUUGGUGUAGAAGGGCUCUGUUUCUCCUCCGUUACCUUUAGGGUCUCCUUUCUUGUGCUGACACCAAAACACAAAAUAAGAGGGCAUGCAGAACGUAUGCUGGGUACAGCAACCUGUUUAAAUAAAGGGGGAGGUGCUUUAUGAGGCAGAGGGGCAGCUGAUAGUUAAGCCUUCUCUUUCCCUUUGCAGAAAGGGAAUGGAAUAAUCCAUUCAAUUACAGAAGGCAAAACACUUUGCACUCCUCGUGAUGUAUCCCAUGUUUUUUAUGUAAAGGGAAGACUUGGAAAAAUGAAGCAACUCGUUUCACUUGAUAAGCCAGUGAGACCAUCUGUAGGCUGCUUCAAGCUUUCCUUCCAGCCAAGGAACCAGGAGUUAUCCCUAAUCCUUUCCUCCAGGGGCACAGGCCAGCCUAUCCUUUGAGGAACCGGGCUCCCUUUGAGCAUCCCUCCCAUUGGUGUUCCUAAACCUUCUUGGGGAAGGCUGACGGAAGCUUUUGGAAGGGGCAGGAGGAAAAUACAGCAAUUUCAUUUCACUUGGAGUCACCAUGGCAGCAAAUUACUCCUUCUUUCCCACACCUUGUUUAAAAAGAAAAUGGGGAGUAACAAUGGCAAGCGAGGCCUUCAGUGAGAGUGAGCAGUAGAAACUCAUUUACAGCUGAAAAAUAUAUAGAAAAGAAGUCAGGAAACUAUUGAAUGAUUUGUAAAGGGAGCAUGGUUUUCUUGUUUGCUGUUCCAUUCAGUGUCCUCUGUGUUAAUCUCUUAGAAGAGAGACAGGCCAUUUUCUCAGCCAAGAACAAUUUACCUGUGUGCUGGCACACAGUUAAGAGCAAUUUAGAAAACAAAAAAAUACAAAAAAAUCCCCUUCCAAAUUAACAUUUAGCUGGUGACGUUAAGGGAAUUAUUCUUUCUUUUCCCUCCCAUUCAGAAGUUGAGGAACCAGGAGCAUUCUUGCUCUCUGAAUGCCUCCGAAGCCUGCUGUGUGCAGGCGUGGGGCGCAGCGUGCCCUGAGGGGCUGGGGGCCAGGCUCUUGUGGGUCCUGAGUGCCACAAGCACAUAGUUUUAGCACAGGGCUUCUUUCCCACUUGGCACAUUGGCAGCUCUUUGGGCCCAGUGCUUCUGUGAGGAGCUGCAGCUACGUGUGGGGAGCGUGCUGGCUGUUUGAGCUCGGCUCUACCACCCUGGUGCCUGGUGGCAGCGCCUGGUUUCCAGCUGAUGGUGCGAUCCCCUUCUGUCUGUUCAGCAGCACCAUAAUGCGUGUGUGUAGCUGGCACAGGAGGUAACCAACCCUCCUGGUUCUGCAGAUUGCAUUUCAAAGUCCUCAUGGAGCCAGAGGAAAGGAGUGCAUCUCCCAAACCGACCAGCGCAGUCCAGCAAACCGAGGCUGUGCCCUUGCCUUACCCCUACCUAUUCACAUGGAUGCAGCACAGCUGCAUUUUUACCAGGGUGGAUGCUGUGGGACACGAGGAUGUGCCUUGUACACUGCUGGCUUGACCACCCCAUCUCACAACUGUCUCCCCCUCCACAGUGCCCCUCCUGGCAGCGAUUAUUAGAGACAAACCGGGGUCUCCCCUGCAGGAUAAAACCCCCUUGUAUGUGAGUGCUCCCAUCUUCCAACCCCCAUAUUCCUGCAGGGCCUCAGUUUAAAAUAAAGAUGAGAAUGGCUCCAGGAGUAACCAUUUUCCUGGUUGUAUACAGCCUGUGUUCCCACUCAUCCUCUGCCUUCUUUCUCCGUCAGAAAUCCCUGAGCCUUCCCCUGCCUCCCCGGAGCAGUCCGCCCCAUCAUCUAUUCCGCUGCCGUACGUGCCGCGUUUGUUUCUUUUUCUUUUUAUUUAAUUUAAUAAAAACAGGAGUGCGGGGGCUGAUUUGCAUAUUCAUGGCUCACUUGAUUAAUAAUUGAUGAGAGGGCCUGGGGCAGGUGGUUGAGAAUAAAAAACAUUUAGCAGGGAGCAGAGGGGAAGGAACAGAGCCCCGGCUGGCACGUGUCCGCAGGGGGAAGAGCUGCCGGGGGCUGGCGGGGAGGGAAGGGGAGAGGCAGCAGUCGACACAGUGUUGAAUGUCACCAGCGGAAUGUAAUUUUGUCUAUUUAAAUAUUUAAUCACGUCCUCCGAAGCUGUGACAUUUCGAGUCCCGGGGGCUUUUCCUCCAUCCAGCUUACGGGUAGGAGAGGCAGGGGCAGGGAGGUUUCUCUCCCCGGCGUGGGAGGAGAGGAGGGCAGGCCAGGGAUCGCGGGGAGCCCUGUGAUGGGAUGGUGUUUGCUGGUAGGAAUCCGGAGAGUUUGGAGGGAGCUGGGGUUUGAUAGUCUCGUGCCAGAUCUGUUUGCAGCCCAGAAGUUCAAAGUUAUUUUCAUGCCAGGCACAACUGCUGGCUUCAGGUGCUGUAAGACCUCGUUUCUGGCAGGGAGCAUCCCCCGUGUGGUAGCAGGGGGUGGGGGGCAGCUAAGAGCACACCAGCUUCUUGGGAUCUCGUUCAGUGAAGCAGCAAUGUUGGCUCCCUCUUCCCUCCCCAAAUCCCCCUCCUGCUCUCCCCUGCAAGGCUUUGCCAAAUAAAUGUGCCAAAUAAACAGUGCUAGGCUUAGGCUUUAAUCGACCUCCAGGGUCUGAGGGCAGGAAGGUGAGGUAUUGCUCCAUGCUUUUUUUAGAGUGAUCUGAAUACAUACAUCCUGAAUACAGAUAUCCCAUAGCGUUCAUCUCGGGCUCUGCUGUUGCUUCUUUUCUCCUAAAAGUGCUGCUGAGAAAACAUUUUGGGUGGCUCAGUGAUGGAUCUGGUACUGCAGAUGUGGCAGAGGUAGGGAGACAUGGCUAGUGCAGGAGCAGCCAUAAAAACUCCAGCCUUACUUAUGUUGUUAAAUUAAUGGUUUUAGUUUCCAGCUUUGUUAUUAAGGCUCUUGGAAGGUGGUGUGAUGAGCACCCUUGUGUCAGUAGCUGGAUUUUUACUGCUUGUCUGCAUAACAAGCAGAGCAGGGCUGGAUUUUCCAUGCUGAUGAGGUAAAGGCUUCCAUUGGUAGCAGUGGUGCAAAGUCUCCCUGCUGCCUCCUCAAAGGCCAGGGCUACUCUGAACUCACUGAGCAGAAAAUAAAUGUCAGUCUGGAGCGAUUCUCACCCAGGACUGGAUUCUGAUGCUUCUGGUGUCUGCAUAUUCCAGUGUCCAUUCCCAUUGACUGUGACAACACAGAUCUGGUGGGGGAAACUUGGAUCCACAACAGAUUUUUUUUAUCUUUCCGUGGGUGGUUUGAUGGUUUAUUUAUGAAUGGUCUUCACGGAUCAAAACCAAAAGCAGCCUUAAAUAAUAGCCCAAGGAGACGCUGACCAAUUCAUUCCAUUAAAGUCUAGCUGUCUAUUAAUAAAUGGUCAGACGAUACAUUAUGGAGCAGAGAUAAGUAAUUGCAUAAAUCCUAAGUAGUUAUUUAUCAAUUAUAUGGUAUUUAAUGAUGCAACUCUUCUCGUUGCUCUGCUUGCUGCUGGACAAAGGGAUCAGCUGUGAGCUUUGCACCCUCAUUGCUGUGGUGCCGCCUCUCCCAGUGGUCCCUAAUGGGGGAGCUGGGAUCUUGACGGGCUCUGAACUGGCUUUAGCUCCUACAUUGGCACCUGUCCUUACAGUACCCCAAUGGGUCUCUCUAAUGAGACACCUGGCACGCUACAUUUUUGUAAACGUAUCAAGGAAAGUUGCAAGGGUAUAUCCUGUCUUGUGUUCCCUUUGACUUGUCUUUUCAAGAUAAAGAAAGCAGACAAAACUUCAAUGCGUGGAGUAAUCUGAGUAUCCUGCAAUUCUGUCUUUUCUCAGGAUUUAGUACAUGCUUUGGUAACUUCAUACUCCUGUUCUCUACCCCCCUGAAAAUCAUCCCAGAAUGUCAAGGACUGAUUCAAAUUAGUACAUGAAAUAAAGCAGCUCCUCUAGUCUUUGCAGCUAAACUUUUUUUGAGCUGAAAAA